rnacentral:rRNA from 1 species
GACGAACGCUGGCGGCAUGCUUAACACAUGCAAGUGGAGCGACGAACCUUUUAGGGGCAAAGCCGCGAACGGGUGAGUAACACGUGGGCAAUCUGCCCAGUUGACCGGAAUAACCCGAGGAAACUCGAGCUAAUACCGGAUGUGCCAUUCCCUCACAAGAGGGCCUGGUAAAGGGAGCUUCGGCUAUCCGCAACUGGAGGAGCCUGCGGGGCAUUAGGUAGUUGGUGGGGUAAAGGCCUACCAAGCCGACGAUGCCUAGCUGGUCUGAGAGGACGAUCAGCCACACUGGAACUGAGACACGGUCCAGACACCUACGGGUGGCUG